GAUUCUAUCCAGGAUUCAACAUUGCAUUUAAUCAUCAUUUGUCCUUCAGCUCCUCUUGUCCGUGACAAUUUUUCCAACUUCCCUUGUUUUUGACCUUGAUGAUUUUGAGGAGUGAUGGUCAGGUGUCUGGGGAUGUGUCUGAUGAUUUUUUCUCAUGAUUAGACUGGGUUUCAAUCCUUGAUUCUUGAUAGGUAUAAUACACUCUUGCAAGAGCCAGAACCAAUGAUAGCAUUCCACACUACUUUUGUUUUUGUUGUUGUUUUACAUAUUUGUUUCCUUUUGGAAGAAGAAAGAGACUCCUGUUUUGUAGUUGUUUGGGGUCAUCUGGUUCCAUUUAAAAAUAAUAAACCCAGACACUCCAGCUGCUAUGAGGCAAAAGGGCCCUUGGUCUGUAUUAGUCUCCAUAUUUCAGGAUUGCAGGUUUCACUUAGCUCUUUCAGCCCUCAAGACUGGCCCUGCUCAUUCAUCCCUGUUGAGACUGGGACACUGGCUCAGAAAAAGGCAAAAGGAACACUGUUGGGGGCUUGGCCCUGUAGGGCUCUGCCCUACCCACUCAUCUGUCAUCUGGUGCUACUCUCUUCCUGAGGCAUCUCCGAGGUUACCCUGGCAUGUGCACAUCUGUAGGACUGCCACCACCCACCUUCCUUAGGGGCUGCCCUGGUAAGUGGACCCAGGCACCCAUCAAACCCACCAUCCCAGGCUGUAGAUCACAACACUGUCAGAUGCCUCCUUAUAGUCCAGACUGGGGACACAUCCAUUUUUUUCUUCUCAAGGAAAACUCAGAUCAUAAAGAUAUUUACAUAUGAGAGAAAUGCUUAGAUAUGGACUUGAGAUUAUAAAAAUACACUCAACCUUUUAAAAUCAUAGCAACACAAGAGACAAGAAGGCUGAAAACUAAAGUGCAUUUAAAAUAUGGCUGCAGGCUACAGGUUUGGAAAUAUAGUUUUUAAGGAAAACAAUUAGAUGGAAUGGAGUCCUGCCUUCAUUCUCACCUGUAUCACCUCCCAGCUCACAGCCUCACCAUGCUCUAAGCCCAAACCCCAAUCCAUGUCUGUUGGCUGCAUGAGUGAAUGAACCUACAGAAGGUAUUUCCCAGCUACCCCCAACAGGUCAUAGCCCAUCUCCUCUCCAACCCUUUUCCUCUUUUCCUUUGCUCAGGUGUCUGAUGAUUUUUUCUCAUGGGCAAAAUGAGAAAGUCAGUCAGAUAAUAGGUUUGUGGAUCAUUUUACCUUCUCUACCCUCCUUGUGUUACUUUCAUUUCUUGGCCUCAGUUCUUCCCCUUUUGCUGCAUCCACACCGUUUGCCAUGGAACUUUGCUGAUCCUUUCACAACUUUGGAAGAACACUUCCCCACCCCUUGACUUUGGGCUUGGCUGAGGGAUAUUAGCAGAUGUGACGCACAGAGGGAUUGAAAUGUGCUUGUAGGACUGUGUGUAUCCUCUCAUGCCUCUGCCAUUGCCAUGAGAAAAGCAUGUCCCAGCUAGCUUGCUGGUCCUGGGAGAAUGAGAGGCAUGUGGAACAGACCUGGACCAAACUGCAACCUGGGGCCCAACCCUAUUGAUUCAAGCCAAGAUCAGCCAAAUACCCACUGGCCUGUGAUGUGUGAGCAGGAAACAAAUGCUCAGAGGUAUGCUACGGAGGUUUUGGGUUGUUGGUACCAGUAAUAGCUAAUAGAGACACCACUCUACCUUCCAGUCUUUCUUGGAAAUCUAGACAGGCAGAGGGUUUCUGGGAAGAAGAGUCUUCAUGUCAAAUCCUGUCCCUGGAGACCAUUCCUUCCUUAUGUGAGCCCAGUGUGACUCACCACUCCCAGAAAGCAUUAGUGUGUUAGUAACAAUUGUAAUUAGCGUUCACCUGGGGUUUUAUUAGCAGAAGGUCACUGUGACAUACAACUGUCUUAGGCGGAAAGGCCAGGAUCACUGCACCCAUUAUGCAAAGAGAAAAUAAAACACUCAGACAAAGUGAGUGAUUCA
rnacentral:lncRNA from 13 species